AACGAACGCUGGCGGCGUGCCUAAUACAUGCAAGUCGAGCGAAUCAAUGGGAGCUUGCUCCCUGAGAUUAGCGGCGGACGGGUGAGUAACACGUGGGUAACCUGCCUGUAAGACUGGGAUAACUUCGGGAAACCGGAGCUAAUACCGGAUAGUUUCUUUUCUCGCAUGAGAGAAGAUGGAAAGAUGGUUCUGCUAUCACUUACAGAUGGACCCGCGGCGCAUUAGCUAGUUGGUGAGGUAACGGCUUACCAAGGCGACGAUGCGUAGCCGACCUGGGAGGGUGGUCGGCCACACUGGGACUGAGGCACGGCCCAGACUCCUACGGGAGGCAGCAGUAGGGAAUCUUCCGCAAUGGACGAAAGUCUGACGGAGCAACGCCGCGUGAGCGAAGAAGGCCUUCGGGUCGUAAAGCUCUGUUGUUAGGGAAGAACAAGUACGAGAGUAACUGCUCGUACCUUGACGGUACCUAACCAGAAAGCCACGGCUAACUACGUGCCAGCCGCCGCAGUAACAC
rnacentral:rRNA from 1 species